AUUAAACCGUCUCUUAGAACAGCAGUUGAAGCACUUUGGGCAAUGAAUUCUUAGGGGGUGGCAAAACACAUGAAAUCUAGUCAUCACAUUUUACAGCGGAUCUGCUGCUUGAUAAACCACAACUGGAGAGCAGCCUGUUAGCAAGAAGGCCAUUUCUAAGAAGAAAAUGAGUUUGUAAAAGAUCCGUUUGAAUUAUUAACUGCAGAGAAGUGGCUGGAGAAGACAGCCGUUGCUGGUAACACUGGCUUUUCUCCUCACGUGUAUGAUUAGAACAAAGGGAGGCACGAGAGAGCAAGGCAAAGACGGAAAAGCAAAUUUCCCUCUGACAUAAGGAGGCACAUUUUCACGCAGUGCCUCGUCGAUACAUGGAGAGGCCACCUACCAGGUAGAAGUCACUACCCAGAGAUGACAUGUGGCCUGUUCCACAGUGCCUUCAGUUUUCACUGCACAGGUGUUUGUCCCCAACACCUACCGAACAGAAGGUCAAGGAAAACAUCUGGGCAGAUAAACAUCUCCUUCCUUCAAAAUGUCUGCAGACCACAAGGUGACAUGGCCUGCAGCCUAAAGUGUGUGACAAGCUACCCAUCAGCAUUCCUGAAAGGAGGAAAGAACACAAUCUUUCCAAAUACAUCACAUGUGGGGACCAAGGAGGUAAACAGAAGUGAUGGUGGACCCAUUCCAGCUUGGAUUCCUGCAGAUUUGGAGAGCAGAAGCAUAAAGGCAAGUUAGAAAACAGAAGGAAGAGAUAAAGGACUUAGAAGGUCCUUAAAAAUGAAAGUUUCAUGCAGGAAAUCUAUA